AUUAGCUGUGGCAGUGUAUCCUCACGAGGUGCUCACCUGCGGUUACUCGGUCAUGAUGUUGUCCAACCCACCUGAAAGACCUGCCAGGCUAAAGAAGACGGGUCCCAGUGCAUGGUUUCUCCUCUCCAUGUGAAACACAAAUGGCAGAUCAAGAAAAAAAGCAGGUAAUAAUUUCAUCAACGAGGUAAACAGAAGAACUCAUGUUCAGUACAGAGAUGUCAAUACAAAGAUACAAAGAGGGUAACUGUGUAUUCCUCUUUUCAAAGUAGAGGGUCCACAAUUGCACGCUGUCCUGCUUCCUCUCGACUCAUAAGAUCUUUUCCUUGUCUCUUCCUAGUGUUGUGUUCUUCCCUCUCUCUAAAAGACAGAUGGCAGUGUAGGAUGGUAUUAGUUAAAAAAAAAAAAACUUAAAAAGCCAGACAAACUAUCCAUUUUGUAUUUGAUACAAAUGUAUACUUACAUUUUUUUUAGGAGAGGGUUCACUAUGUAUGCGGUGUCUUUUCCUUGUCUCAUCCAGACUUCUCUUCUUCCUCUGAAAGACAAACUGCAGAUAUGGGUGAUUAGGGUUACUACAGAUACUGUUGAAUGUCCAGGGUUCUACUACAUCGUAAACACUAGUAAAGAUUAAGAUGAUCUGUUAAGGACUACUUAGCCAUUUGAUAACUCUUCCUGUGUUUUCUUCUCUGCAGGCAGACUGGCAGGUCAGGUUAGCUGAGAGAGAAGCACAGGUGGGCUUAAUACUGUAUUCUCUGGCCUCUAUCUUGCUUGGUUCCACCUGUUCCUGCUUUUUCUAUCAGCCUGUUCUUCCUCGUCCACCUGCCUGUCUCUGGUGGACUAGUAGUGUGGUUGGCUCUGACUGAUCAUGCAGCUGUGGCACUAGGUCUUCUCAAUCCUAGCGCAAACUGAAGCCUUUAGCUUGUGGCGCUAGUGAUGAGUCCGAUUCAUCAAAUAAUGUUGCAUGUAUUUCUAGCUCAAGAAAAUACAUUCAACAGUAUUAUUUACAGAAAUCCAUUUGAAGUACUAGUGCCGUGCAAGGCUGCAGUGGGUCAGUGUCUGUCCCAACACACUCUGGGCCGAUGAUGGAGUAAACCACAAUUUAGAUUUCUUAAUUCCUCCUGGAUGGGAAAAAAAAUGAUUGUCUUUGGAGAGAGCUCCUAUCUCAAGUGAUGCUCAUAGCUCCCUCGUAGUUCCCACCAGAUCAGACACACAGGCCAGCACCAAGAAAUAAAGAAAGGUGCAAUACUCACCGGUGCAAGAUGCACCAAAAACACUGACCUGUGUACCACAACCAUGGUGAGACAAACUAUAUACAAAUGUACAAUAAUAACCCCUCAGUCAGCCCCGGUGCAAGACGCUACCGUGGAAGCCCUCAGGGGUAAGAAUCCAGUUUCUUAAUCUGAAAAUCAAAGGGUGCAGCAGAGCAAAUGUCCAUCACAGUCUCAAGCGUUUCUUUGGGGGAGACUGGCUGCUGCUGCUGCUGCUGCUGCUGCUCUCCUCUGUGUACUUUCUCUUCUCGGGUCUCGGAGGCCUUGCAAACUGUGCAACCUUUUUGGGGAACUGACAGAGGACCGACAUGCAAAGGUGGCCAUCUUCACUAUAGUCGGUCACCCUCCAGCGGUUGGUCAGCUCAGUGCACUCAGAGCUGUACACAGGGGAGAUGAAUCUGGUGACAGUUGUGCCGUCCAACUCCAAGUCGCAGAAAUAGUUUCUGCGGUCGGCCCUCAGGACUCCGAGCUCCGUCCUCUCAGGAAGAACCGGGGUCAGCAUGUUUGGAGGAGAGGAGCCCGCAGGUGGCACCAUCACACCGGCUGGGGCCUCCGUCAGAGGAGAUGGUGGGUUGUUCUCACUCUGGCUGGAAGGGAAGGGUGAGACCACCUCGUCUGAGAGGAAGACUCCAUCAAAGGAAAUGAAAGGGUAGUCCUUGGAACCUGUGAGGAGGUUGUGGUACAGGCUGAGGAUGAAGUCACACAUGGAGAGGAUGUCGCUUUCACACAGUGGACGGUUCCUCAAGUUUGUCACAAUCAGUUGAAGGCCUUUUCCUGGUAUUGGCAUGCAUCCUAAAUUGAGAGAGGAAAACAUUGGUCAUGUCCCGAUCAGACCAAUUAGCCAGCCCCAGUUCACUUCACAGCAAGACUUUUAUUGUGAAAAAUCUUAGAUAUAUGUCAUAUUGUGACAGGCAUGCAUUAUUUCAAAUCCUAAUAUUGUUUUUAUUUUUCUCUGAAUAAUUGGCAAAUCAAUUUGUUACGUUAAAACA